rnacentral:rRNA from 1 species
UGAAUGGUGAAGCCGCGAAAAGCUCAUUACAACAGCCAUAGUUUAUUGGAUGUUUAUGUUCCUACAAGGACACCUGCGGUAAUUCUGGAGCUAAUACUUGCGAAAAACGACGACCUUACGGAAGUCGUGCAUUUGUUAGACUAAACCAAUCGGUCCCUCGGGACCGCCAUUUGGUGAACUCUGAAUAACUUAGCUGAUCGCACAGUCUCGUACUGGCGACAAAUCUUUCAAGUGUCUGCCUUAUCAACUUUCGAUGGUAGUUUACACGACUACCAUGGUUGUAACGGGUAACGGAGAAUAAGGGUUCGACUCCGGAGAGGGAGCCUGAGAAACGGCUACCACAUCCAAGGAAGGCAGCAGGCGCGCAAAUUACCCACUCGCAGAACGCGGAGGUAGUGACGAAAAAUAACGAGGUGGCUCUCUACGAGGUCCAUCAUCGGAAUGGGUACAAUUUAAAUCCUUUAACGAGGAUCUAUUGGAGGGCAAGUCUGGUGCCAGCAGCCGCGGUAAUUCCAGCUCCAAUAGCGUAUACUAAAGUUGUUGCGGUUAAAAAGCUCGUAGUUGGAUCUGCGCUCGGUGAAAGUGGUCGCCCGAUGGGUUGUUACUGCUUCUCCCGGGCUAACCAUUCGGUUUUCCCUUGAUGCUCUUCAUUGAGUGUCCUGGGUGACCGGAACGUUUACUUUGAAAAAAUUAGAGUGCUCAAAGCAGGCGAUUCGCCCGAAUAUUCGUGCAUGGAAUAAUAAAAGAGGUCCUUGUAGCCUUUUAUUGGUUAUCGCUACGAGGAAAUGAUCGAAGGGGACAGACGGGGGCAUUUGU